UACGGAGGGGGCUAGCGUUGUUCGGAAUUACGGGGCGUAAAGCGCACGUAGGCGGCUUUGUAAGUUAGAGGUGAAAGCCCAGGGCUUAACCCUGGAAUUGCCUUUAAGACUGCAUCGCUAGAAUCGUGGAGAGGUGAGUGGAAUUCCGAGUGUAGAGGUGAAAUUCGUAGAUAUUCGGAAGAACACCAGUGGCGAAGGCGACUCACUGGACACGUAUUGACGCUGAGGUGCGAAAGCGUGGGGAGCAAACAGG
rnacentral:rRNA from 1 species